rnacentral:lncRNA from 10 species
AUACUCAAACCCCAACCCCUGCCCGCCCCAGCCAGGAGGGGAGACGGUUGGGAGUGGGAGGCCUCGGCGCUGUUCUCUGGAUGCAACUGAGAUUGCCGCUAGAGGGUGACGCCUGGGUCGGAAUCCAAGGAUUUGUGAAGAGGUGACCCAAAUUUCAAGACAAUGUUGGAUGCAAACGGAUUUGCCAGCAACUGCAUCACUGUCAAAACCAGCUCUGCCCGUGUCUUCCGAAGAUACCAAGUGAAAUACAUGUAGAUGGGAUUUACAUCUGAAAAACCAAGUGAGAAACUGAAGACCAGAGAGGGUGAGUGGUUUACUCAGUUUGGCACAACUGACCCCAACCUAGCCCUCCAUGAGGACUGAGCGCAUGAGAGAUCCUGAGCCACAGCCGCCCAGCCCUGCUCCUCUCGAAUUUCUGACCUACAGGAACUGCAAGAAGUAAUGAAAGACUGCUGUUUAAAGCCACUGCAUUUUGGCAUGAUUUGUUAUGCAGUCGUAGAUAACCAGAAAACAUCGGAUUUACAUUUUAAGGAUUACUUCAUGCACAUAAAAGAAAACGCAACUACAGUGGACCCUGAACAACGUAGGAAACAGAGAAGCAAAGAAGUUAGCAAGCUUGUUUUGGCAGAAGAAAAAACACAAAAUACCCAACCACAGAUCCUCAAAAAUAUUGCUAAGCACUAAUUUUGCUAACAUGUUAGACAGCCUUCGGAUCUAGGCAAUCUUGUUCCUCAGCUGGAAAGAGUUCCUGCCAGCCAUGUGAUUCCAAAUCCACCCUGGACAUAUGGGGAUAAUGAGAAAAUCAGCUCCGGCCUUCCCUGGCCUUCCAGCCAAGUGAAUGGGGGCAUCCCCUGGUGCUUCAGCCCGGGGCCCACCCAGAGGAUGCUAGCUGGCCUGCAGAGGCCUCAACCAUGCCCUCCUGGACUCAGGUAAGACUGAGGUUUCCAUGCCCUCAAAACAAUUGUUCAGACAAAAACUCACUGCCCAGGUCAAAGUCACAGCACCAGAAAGCCAACCUGAGGAUGAAGACAAAGCUCUUUGUUGGCACAGUCCCCUGAUCAUUCGAGGUCAGCAUCUCCAUCAAAAUGGACCCAAUGCUGAGGCAAGAAGGAGAACAUCACUGUUAAGAAGGUAAUGAGUCACAAAUGCUAUUUCGAUGGUUUUCUUUGAAAGAAAUACACAGAACCAAACCAAUUUUAAUUAAAGAUCUUGUCUUUGUAAUCAGGCAGCCACAAAUGAAGGCAAAACUGCUUUCAUGUGGCAUAAUAUACACAGAGCUGAACUAGUUUUCCCAUAAAAGGGCAGGUUCUUUUCUUCAAAUAAGAAAAGAGUUUGUUCCUAACAAUAUGGGGGAUGCAACAGAAAGCUGUCUUUUGCAAAGUAUAAAAUUGCAGAUCCUCCCGUGGAAGCCAUUUCUUGAUGCUAAACCAAUGCGAACGUUUGCCAAACGCACAUGCGAGCCGGGAUUAUCCUACCCUUUGAGAUUAGACAUGUGAUCCUGAUUUUUAAGUGAAAAACGCAGCCAGAGGCCAAAUAAACAUACCUACAAGUACAUCGAAAGCUCAAAUGGUUGAGAAAUGAUUGUAACACACCCCGGUGUGUAUUUCUGAGGAAGAAUCAACAUGCACAUGGAAAUUGAUGUUUUGAUUUUUAAUUUUAAAACGACGACAGAACUGAAAUACCUCCCCUAACUAGGUCCACUGAAACCAGUGAGGAGAUAAUCAUUUUCAGUUAAAUAUGCAUGUAAUUUAAUAAUCCACAGAUGGAAAAUGCAUUUGAGGUGGACUGAACACAGCCAGGAGUUUUUGCUUAUCGACAGCACUGAAUCCUGCCUUGACUAGAGAGACUCGUCAUGUGAUCAACUGUGGCCAGAGGGCAUCCUGCAGACAGCUCCUGUCACACCACACUGACCAGACUCUUAUGAGUAUUUAAGCAUCUUCAGGGAAGCGAUUGACUGUCUUAUAAUGGUCUUACAAGUACGGAACUUUAUUACCUGCUAAUAAUCAGAGCACAUGAUGGCACAAUAGAAUAUACGAGUGAAGUUCUAAAUGCAAGGUUGUUCUUAUUCUGUGAGUGGCAAAACUCAUGCAGUGAGCAGAUAAAGCUGGCAGGAGGCAUUGGCGCCCUAAUGCUGGGCACUAACCACCUGCCCGGACUGCGAAUAUCUGUUGGGUCCUUUCUAUAUCUGGUCUAUUCUCGUGUUUGAUUAUAUCCUGGUGGCAAGAAUAGCAAAAUCAACUCUCCUUCCUAUCCCAUGUGGAGAGGCAUGAUUUGAGUCAGAGAGCAUUAUCCUCUCUGCGUUAUCCAACCCCAUGUCCCAUGAUGCACUUUGUAGACAAGCAAGUGUCCCUGGUGGAGAAUCCACAGCCACACAUCCUCAUUGGUUGCAAGGAUCAGUGUCCAAUAUCUACUGCCAUGAUCAUUCUCAGUUUUACAUCCACAGAGCUUCAUAGAAUUCUAACACCACAGGUCCAAGUAGAGGUUUUGGCCUCAGAGUGGGCUAGAUUCCACCUCUGACAGCAGCUGUGGGACUGUUUUUCCAUCUGUAAAAUGGAGACAAGAGUAUCACCUACCUCAUGGUGUUGGUGGGAUCGUUAAACAGAAUUCCGAUCAUGAAACCCUUAGCCUGCUCCCUGCAUAGGCUGCAUGCGCUCAGUGAGCUAUGGCUCUGUUUCAUGCUGACUUUACCAUCAUGUAAGCAGUUUUAAAAAUGCUAGAAGCUUUAGUCAUAGAAUUACCAUAUGAUACAGCCUACUGCAGAGUCCAGAGGCUGAGGCAGGAGAGUUACUUGAACCUGGGAGGCGGAGGUUGCAGUGAGCCAAGAUCGCGCCACUGCACUCCAGCCUGGGCAACAGAGUGAGAUUCUGUCUCAACACAAAAAAGAAGACAUGUGUCCCCAUCACAGUAUCAUACAGAGUGCUUCCACUGCCCUAAAAUACCCUGUGCUCUUCCUAUUCAUCCCUCUCUUCAACCCCAGCAACCACUGAUCCUUUUACCAUCUCCAUGGUUUUGCCUUUCCCAGAAUGUCAUAUUGUUGGAAUCAUACGCUAUGUAGCCUUUGCAAAUGGGCUUCUUUCACCGAGCAAUGUGCAUUGAAGGUGCCUCUAUGACUUUUCAAGGGUUGAUAGCUCAUUCCUUUUUAUUGCUAAAUAAUAUUCCAUUGU